GAACACCUGCUGUAUUCUCCCAGCAAACACUGGGGCCAUGGCGUCUCUCCUCUAAUGACACCUCAUCAAUCCGCUCCUAUCAAUGUCCCAGCCAUGGAGGUGACUUCGAGUGCUCAGAAGCCUUAGAAAAUGUCAACGUUUUGGGAGAAAAGAUAUGGAUGAUUUCAUAAUUCUUUUGGGAAUUAUUGUCACAUGGGAGUCUUGGACACAAGAGGACCCAACACCAAAUGGAUAUCUAUUAAUGUAAAUCCAUGUACAUAGGAUUAGAUGCCAACCAUAAAGUGAGUGUGAAAUUUCAAGGGCCAGGAGGAUUGCCCCAUACCUGGAAGCCUGCUUCAUGAGUGGAGGACAGAAGGCAAAUGGAAUAGAGAAGGCAUCACUAAGAAAAUGAUGGCUGGAGGAAUCAGUCGGGAUGGGAGAUGCAUGCCGAAAGUAGAUAAUGGACCAAACAUGAUGACCUCCUAGUGUCUGUGUUGCAAACCAAAAUGCCCAAAAGUAGAGAGAGAGUAUGGGGAAUAUUGU